rnacentral:rRNA from 1 species
GACGAACGCUGGCGGCGUGCUUAACACAUGCAAGUCGAACGGAAAGGCCCUGCUUUUGUGUGGUGCUCGAGUGGCGAGCGGGUGAGUAACACGUGAGUAACCUGCCCUUGACUGUGGGAUAACUUCAGGCAACUGGGGCUAAUACAGGAGAGGAGCUCCUGCUGCAUGGUGGGGGUUGGAAAGUUUCGGCGGUUGGGGAUGGACUCGCGGCUUAUCAGCUUGUUGGGUGGGUAGUGGCUUACCAAGGCUUUGACGGAUAGCCGGCAUGAGAGGGUGACCGGCCACAUUGGGACUGAGAUACGGCCCAGACUCCUAUGGUAGGCAGCAGUGGGGAAUAUUGCACAAUGGGCGGAAGCCUGAGGCAGAAACGCCGCGUGCGGGAUGACGGCCUUCGGGGUGUAAACCGCUUUCGCUUGUGACGAAGCGUGAGUGACGGUAAUGGGUAAAGAAGCACCGGCUAACUACGUG